AUUGAACGCUGGCGGCAGGCCUAACACAUGCAAGUCGAACGAGUGGCGGACGGGUGAGUAAUUUCUGUGAAACUGCCCGAUGGAGGGGGAUAACUACUGGAAACUGUAGCUAAUACCGCAUCCCAUCGGAUGUGCCCAGAGGGGAUUAGCUAGUAGGUGGGGUAACGGCUCACCUAGGCGCCGAUCCCUAGCUGGUCUGAGAUGAUGACCAGCCACGCUGGAACUGAGACACGGUCCAGACUCAUACGGGAGGCAGCAGUGGGGAAGAUUGCACAAUGGGCGCAAUCCUGAUGCAGCCAUGCCGAGUGUAUGAAGAAGGGCUUGGAGUUGUAAAGUACUUUCAGCGGGGAGGCGUUACCGGCAGACGAAGCACCGGCUAACCCCGUGUCAGCAGCCGCGGUAAUAC
rnacentral:rRNA from 1 species